rnacentral:lncRNA from 1 species
GGAGCAUGUUCAGGCUGCUGUCUUUGGGCGCCUCCUUGCCAGCCGCAACGGGUGGGCAACCUCAGCAGGCCCCCAUCGAGCAGAAAGGGUGGCCCGGCAGAGGGUUGCAGAAGUAAACACGGCAGAGGCCUGACCACUUGAACGGCCACAUCAAGCAAGUCCAUACGUCGGAGAGACCCCACAAAUGCCAGCAGGAAAUUGGCACCAUCCAUGGGAUAAGCUCAGAGACAUCUCCAUCCAUAGAACAGUUGAACCUUCAAGAGGUAUUUCUGAAACACCAUUUAUUUAUUUUUUAUUUAAAAAAACACCAAACCCACCCCCUUUUCUGUUUCUGCUCUGUUUAUCUUGCCUUUGCAAUGUCUGAAAUAGAAAGCACUGGAAUUUUUUUUAUUUGCUAUUAUUAUUACUCAAGAGGAACGGUAUGACUCUUUGACAACGCUUCUCCAUAAUCUUUAAAUUUGAAAUGUUUGAAGCUGAUCAACUCUUUCUUUGUUUUACUUUGCCUUUUUAAAGGGUUCUGAUACCUGAUUUUCUGCUUUCUAGCUUCUGUCCUUUCGUCCUUUUCUCUCUACAGAAUGAACUGUGUACUUCCAGCCACCCGGAGAAAUAUGGAGAUUUAUCCCAAGGAAGAAAGUUAUGCUUUUAUAUCUGGGGUUGUUUCCCCCCCCCCCCCGGGAACUUCGUGCCAU